UACGAAGGGGGCUAGCGUUGCUCGGAAUCACUGGGCGUAAAGCGCACGUAGGCGGAUUGUUAAGUCAGGGGUGAAAUCCUGGAGCUCAACUCCAGAACUGCCUUUGAUACUGGCGAUCUUGAGUCCGGGAGAGGUGAGUGGAACUCCGAGUGUAGAGGUGAAAUUCGUAGAUAUUCGGAAGAACACCAGUGGCGAAGGCGAACUCACUGGCCCGAUACUGACGCUGAGGCGCGAAAGCGUGGGGAGCAAACA
rnacentral:rRNA from 1 species